rnacentral:rRNA from 1 species
GGGUAUAUUGACGGUACUGCAGGAAUAAGCAUCGGCUAACUCCGUGCCAGCAGCCGCGGUAAUACGGAGGAUGCAAGCGUUAUCCGGAUUCAUUGGGUUUAAAGGGUGCGCAGGCUGUAAAGCAAGUCAGUGGUGAAAGCCCUGGGCUUAACUCAGGGAUUGCCAUUGAAACUGUUUUACUAGAGUGUAGUAGAGGACGGCGGAAUGAGUUGUGUAGCGGUGAAAUGCAUAGAUAUAACUCAGAACACCUAUUGCGUAGGCAGCUGUCUAUACUACAACUGACGCUGAGGCACGAAAGCGUGGGGAGCGAACAGGAUUAGAUACCCUGGUAGUCCACGCUGUAAACGAUGAUCACUCGUUGUUGGCUACUUAGUAGUCAGUGACCAAGGGAAACCGAUAAGUGAUCCACCUGGGGAGUACGUCGGCAACGAUGAAACUCAAAGGAAUUGACGGGGGCCCGCACAAGCGGAGGAACAUGUGGUUUAAUUCGAUGAUACGCGAGGAACCUUACCUGGGCUUAAAUGCUGGCUGCAUUGGAGGGAAACCUUCAUUUCCUACGGGACCGCCAGCAAGGUGCUGCAUGGUUGUCGUCAGCUCGUGCCGUGAGGUGUCGGGUUAAGUCCCAUAACGAGCGCAACCCCUAUCGCUAGUUGCCAGCAUGUAAUGGUGGGGACUCUAGCGAGACUGCCGGUGUAAACCGGAGGAAGGUGGGGAUGACGUCAAAUCAGCACGGCCCUUACGUCCAGGGCUACACACGUGUUACAAUGGCCGGUACAAAGAGCAGCCACCUGGCGACAGGGCGCUAAUCUCUAAAACCGGUCUCAGUUCGGAUCGAAGUCUGCAAUUCGACUUCGUGAAGGUGGAUUCGCUAGUAAUCGCGCAUCAGCCAUGGCGCGGUGAAUAAGUUCCCGGGCCUUGUACACACCGCCCGUCAAGCCAUGGAAGUCGGGGGUACCUGAAGUCCGUA